ACCAUCCUUCUCUUGGGGUUGCACUACUGUCCAAUGAACGUCUUGUGAGGACAGUACUGCUAACACCUUAACAACAUCAGCUAGAGCAUCAGCUAGAGCUCUGCUUUAUCUUGGUGCAAUUUUUGGAAAA